AUAAAGCUGAGUUUCCGACCGCCCUGGCCUUUGGGCAUACCCCGAGGCUGUGGCGGCGAGGGAGAGAGUUUCGCGGGCAAGAGUGCCCGCGCCACACUCCCGAAGGUGCUGGUGGAAACGCCGGCGCCUCCCGCGCUCCGAAAGGAGCGCAUUGGAAAGGAAA
rnacentral:ncRNA from 1 species